AUGACUGAUAAUGGCAGCAACGGUACGAGUCGUGAUGGAAAUAAUUCGGGCAAUACAAAUGCUGGAUUAUUGGUCCAAGAACUUGGUGACCAGAGUGUGCUGGCCAAUCUGCUCACUAACAUUUUGGGCAGACAGCAAGAGACUCAACAACGUCAAAUGGAUAUUCUGGAGCACGUUGUAAAGAAUGAUAGCCACCGGAGUGGAGUUGGGGAAUUUCAAAAACUCAAGCUGCCCUCAUUCUCCGGGACUGCUAAUCCGCUUGAAGCGGAAGACUGGAUCACCGCUAUGGAGAAAGCAUUUGAGGCUAUGGGCUGCACCAACGAAGAGAAAGUCAUUUAUGCAGUUUAUAUGCUAAAAUCAAGCGCUUUUGAAUGGUGGGACGCUCACAAAAAGUCUUACCCAGAGGGUACUCCCCUGACAUGGAUAUUGUUCAAAGAGGCAUUCUAUAAAAAGUAUUUUCCAGAAAGCAUCAAACGCAUCAAAGAAAGGGAGUUUCUUGAGCUUAAACAAGGGAACAAAUCUGUAGGAGAAUAUGAAAUUGAAUUCUCUAGACUUGCAAGAUUUGCUCCAGAGUUCGUCCAGACUGAUGGCUCCAAGGCUCGACGCUUCGAGAGCGGUCUACGUCAACCACUUAAGCGUUGUUGGAAAAGGGAUUUCAAGAGGAAAGGGGUGAUGCUGAACAGGUGGUCGCCCAGAACGAACCAGAGGCAACUCAUUUGGGAGUAUGCCAAGGAGAUGCCCAAUCUGUAA
rnacentral:rRNA from 1 species